rnacentral:lncRNA from 1 species
AGGGAUUCUACCUUGUUCCGUCACAGUGGGGAGCCAGCGGAGGGGUCGUAAACCAGGGCGGGGCUGGAUUUGAUUUGCAUUUUAAAACGAUUGUUCUGAGCUCCACCGAGAGCAGGGUUUGCAGCCCGUGGGGACAGAAGGAGUCUGCAGGCACGGCCUCAGUGAGAGACAGGGCUUCUGCCAGGCUGGGCCGUGGGGCCCUGGGGAAGAGCGGCGAUGCAGAUCUGAAAAUGCUGAAAAAUAUUUAGUUAUGAAAAUCUGGAUGAUCGUAACCUCAGAGGAGUUCAGAAAGCAUUAGCCACAUAAUUUUGGAGAUCAUUGUGUUGGGAUUAGAACCGUAAAGGCAUUUGGCAUGAGAAAACAGCAGAAAAUAAGACCCUGCACAAGCUUUCGCAGGACUGAUUACGGGCUUGAGCCCACUUAGGAAAGAGAGAAAAAUCCUCCUUAAGGGGAAGUGGGAAGAAAAAUGCGGAACAGAACUAUAAGAAAGAGUUAUCCCCUAGGUGGAUGCCCACCUGCAGAGCUUCAAGACUAGAAGGAGGAUGCCAGAGCCAGCAUUUCUCCAAGCGGGCAGACCCUGCCGGGGCGGAGCAGAGGGAGCAUUCAACAGACAGCGGCCGCAAACCUGGCGGUUUCCACCUCCAGUCCCGGGGAGCUGUUAGAACCCAAACUAUCAAAAUGGCAACAUUUAAUUGAACAGCUGUUUGCAAAUCACAUGCUUAUUAGCUGCACGCUGAAAAAAAUAAAAAGGCCUACUUGUAUUUCAGUCUACUGACCAUCAAGAGCCCCCGUUAUGGUUAGAAUUCUCUUGAUUGUAAGCAAGAGCACGGUCACCUGCUAACACAGGAGAAAGACCCACACGCUGGCAUGGGGAGGGUGAGGCCCCAGGCAGCUUUGGGCACUAGCUACAUUCUCUCCUCUCUUCUGGGCGACUUUCUUCUUCCCUCUCUCUGCUCAGCUGGUCCAAAAUGGCUUCCUCUGGACAUCCUACCUUCUCUCCCUCACCCCGUCACGUUUACAUGGGCUGCGUCUUCACCCUGGACUGUUUUCUCUCCCCUUCUUAGCCUGGCUGCAUCCUGCCUGUGGCUUCAGUCUUCUCAGGUGCAGCCUUUUCUAGGUAGCUGCCCUCGAUCCCCAAGGCUGGGGUCCCCGAGCCCACCUGUAAGCUCCCGUGUUCGCUGGUGCUAACUAUGCCAUCUUAGGUCUUUCCACUCUGCAGUGUAAUUGCCG